rnacentral:miRNA from 1 species
AGGGGAGGGGGAGCAGAGACACAACAGCCAGCUCCCCCUGCGGCCGCAAGAACAGCCAGCAAACCCUGAGGAGCUGGCUGUUGUGUCUCUGCUCCCCCUCCCCUG